GAGAACCUGCACACAGGUGCUGCAUGGCUGUCGUCAGCUCGUGUCGUGAGAUGUUGGGUUAAGUCCCGCAACGAGCGCAACCCUUGCCAUCAGUUGCUACGAAAGGGCACUCUGAUGGGACUGCCGGUGACAAACCGGAGGAAGGUGGGGAUGACGUCAAGUCCUCAUGGCCCUUAUAGGUGGGGCUACACACGUCAUACAAUGGCCGGUACAAAGGGCAGCCAACCCGCGAGGGGGAGCCAAUCCCAUAAAGCCGGUCGUAGUCCGGAUCGCAGUCUGCAACUCGACUGCGUGAAGUCGGAAUCGCUAGUAAUCGUGGAUCAGCAUGUCACGGUGAAUACGUUCCCGGGUCUU
rnacentral:rRNA from 1 species